UGUCAAGAUACCGUCAGCAAAAAAGUCGUUCACAUUAACCGUCUUUUUGGUAUCAACCCAAAGAAAGUGACUUUGUUGGACGAGAAAACAAAGGAUUUAGUCGGCAGUUGGCAGUUCAAAGAUGUCAAGCGAUGGAGCAUUUCUUGCGACAAYUCUCGUUUAGUGGUCGAGUUUACAAAAGAAACAUACGAGUUUCUCCUUGACAACAAAAGUUUGGUGUAUAAAGCGAUCAACGAACUACUCUUUAGCUGUUCAAAAGCCAACUUUGCGGCGCUUGGAGAAAGUGACUUCACACCAUGGAGCAAAUACGCUGAGGACACAGAAAAAUGGGGACAUAUUGCAUUGGCUGCAGAAUUACAGCACCAAAUACCUGAUAAUAGUACAGACCCUUUGUAUGAUGGCCCAAUAAGCCGAACAAGRGCCGUGUCGUGUAUUUCCUCGGCWAGAGGUCGAGGAGGACGGUUCACUAGGCAYUCCUCCGUAGUGGAGAAGUUGUCUACKUCAGCACCCUUUCCUCGACUUCCUACAAGUCCUAGCGGCCCUGGUCAAACGCCGACUGAAGGACCCUCAUUUUUCCCUAGCACGUCAGUGGCA